rnacentral:rRNA from 1 species
UAAUGCGAUUUUGGCUAGUAGUUGAUCUAACUUGGCCACUAGUUAGAGUCAAUACACAGCAUUGAUCGGUGCAGCGUUACAAACUUUAGUGUUUAGUAAUAUCAAUGGUAUAUUGGUAGCAAUAUUGGUAUACCUCCUUUAGCCUAGGAUGCAAGUCCCAUUGACUUGGGCUUAUCUUCCAAUUGAGAUGACUAUAAUGUUGGGGCAACUUGACACUAUGGUUGAGCCAUAGAGGGUGAAAGUCCCUUAACGUCCAGGUAUUGAUAUUACGAACUAGAGAGCCAGCAAUGGCAUUUUGUUAGAGUCGGGUUGCUUGAGAGUGCAACCUAAAGAGCGAGGUAAACUGCUCGUAAGGCUAUUAGAGAAAUAUCGCUAUGACACCGAUAGCAAACAAGUACCGUGAGGGAAAGUUGCAAAGUACUUUGAAGAGAGAGUUAAACAGGGCGUGAAACCGCUAGCUGGUAAACGAGUAGAGCCACGAAGUCGUUUCGUAGAAUAAGAGAUACAGAUUCAGUUGAGUUGUUGGCGCAAGUUGGCCUCGGUGCAUUUCUGUUUAUCUCUCUAUGUAUGCGUACACUGCAACCAAUUAGACGAUCAAUUGUGGAAAUAGCUAGCCUACAUUGGGAGAAAUCUUAGUGUUAGUUAGCGAAAUGCUUAUAUACCUUCUGUAGGUUGUUUGAUUUGAUACUUUAGAAAUAGAGGGUCAUCUUGAGCGUAUGAUGGGAUGGUAUGAGAACUACAAUUGAACACUGAUUGGCACAAUGAAAAUCCAUUCGCAAGAAUGGUCCCAGACAACACUACCUGUGUCGUAUGUGUGUACAAGUAUUUAUUAUUAGCGUAAGCCUGGUAGUUUUAAAUUUAGACUGGUGGGCUAUCUUUGGUUUCGGCCUUUGAUGCCUAUUCAGCUUUCUAUCUAAUUGGCUAUCAACUUUGUUAGUAAUCUUGUGCUUGCCCCAAUGGUAGCACGCAUGCGACAACGGGCAAGUAAUCUUAUUGGCAGUGAGUAGGUCGGCUUUCUACACGACCC